CGACUACGAGUUUGACUCCGUGGCUCAGAUUGAACGCUGGCGGCAUGCUUUACACAUGCAAGUCGAACGGUAACAGGCCUUCGGGUGCUGACGAGUGGCGAACGGGUGAGUAAUGCAGUCGGAACGUCGCCCAAUCGGUGGGGAUAACGUAGCGAAAGUUACGCUAAUACCGCAUAAGCCCUGAGGGGGAAAGCAGGGGAUCGCAAGACCUUGCGCGAAUGGAGCGGCCGAUGUCAGAUUAGCUAGUUGGUGGGGUAAAGGCCUACCAAGGCGACGAUCUGUAGCGGGUCUGAGAGGAUGAUCCGCCACACUGGGACUGAGACACGGCCCAGACUCCUACGGGAGGCAGCAGUGGGGAAUUUUGGACAAUGGGCGCAAGCCUGAUCCAGCCAUGCCGCGUGCGGGACGAAGGCCUUCGGGUUGUAAACCGCUUUCAGCCGGAAAGAAAUCGCCAAGGCUAAUAUCCUUGGUGGAUGACGGUACCGGAAGAAGAAGCACCGGCUAACUACGUG
rnacentral:rRNA from 1 species